UCUGAACACUAACCAGCCCUGUAACUGGUCCCCACCUCCCACACACUUUUCAUCACCCACUUGCACACAACAUCUGGGGCCUCUAUUUCCACCCUACUAUCCUGUGAGCUUACUGCCCAGAUUCCGUGUCCAACGAUACUCAGAGAGCCGGUAUCCUCAGGAGUGAAUUUGCUGAGCCCAAAUUGCUGAGGGCCUGGAUAUCUAAAGACAUGGAAUGUUCCUUCUGCAGGAUGCACUAUGGGGAAUCCAGGAAUACCUGCUAGAGACCAGGCAUGCAGGAAACCUGGACAUUUCUGUGGCAAAGAACCCAAGAGAUGCUGACACCAACUUUCUUCUUGACAGAGGGAAGCACACAGCUCUGGGGGCCUUCUAGAGUCACGGCCCUCGCUCACCAGGAGAUUAACCCGUCAGGCUGUCGAGUGAGAAGGGACGGAGCAGACCCUGACAGGAGGCCCGCAAUGCAGGGGAAAUCAAAACAAAUCCACCUGCUCAGGGAAGACUUUUUCGACACCUCGUCCCCCUACGGACAUCUGUGGCAAGUGUCAUCGCGACCACUGGUGUGGCACUGGAUCAUUUAUGACUGCCUCAUGACAUUAUUUUUCACUGUUGUCUUUGUAUUGUUGUUUGACGACUUUGUGUGAUGGUCUCUUCUCACUCCACAAAUAAACUGCAGCACCUGGCAGGCGGGGAGCAGCUUGAGCACGUGUCUGUUCUA